rnacentral:rRNA from 2 species
CAGUACAAGCCUAAUUAAGGUGAAACCGCGAAAGGCUCAUUAAAUCAGUUAUGGUUCCUUAGAUCGUACGCACAUUUACUUGAAUAACUGUGGUAAUUCUAGAGCUAAUACAUGCAAACAGAGCUCCGACCAGAGAUGGAAGGAGUGCUUUUAUUAGAUCAAAACCAAUCGGCGGCAGUCACUUCGGUGUCUGUUCGUCGCCCUAUUUGGUGACUCUGAAUAACUUUAUGCUGAUCGCACGGUCUUGCACCGGCGACGCAUCUAACAAAUGUCUGCCUUAUCAACUGUCGAUGGUAGGUUCUGCGCCUACCGUGGUUGUAACGGGUAACGGGGGAUCAGGGUUCGAUCCCGGAGAGGGAGCCUGAGAAACGGCUACCACAUCCAAGGAAGGCAGCAGGCGCGCAAAUUACCCACUCCCGGCACGGGGAGGUAGUGACGAAAAAUAACGAUACGGGACUCAUCCGAGGCCCCGUAAUCGGAAUGAGUACACUUUAAGUCCUUUAACCAGGAACCAUUGGAGGGCAAGUCUGGUGCCAGCAGCUGCGGUAAUUCCAGCUCCAAUAGCGUAUAUUAAAGUUGUUGCGGUUAAAAAGCUCGUAGUUGAAUCUGUGUCCCGUGCUGUCGGUUCACCGCCCGCGGUGCUAACUGGCACGUCUCACGGGACGUCCUGCCGGUGG